rnacentral:rRNA from 1 species
CCCUUAGAUGUCCGGGGCCGCACGCGCGCUACACUGAAGGAAUCAGCGUGGCUUUCUCCCUGACCCGAAAGGGUUGGGAAACCCGUUGAAUCUCCUUCGUGAUAGGGAUUGUGGCUUGAAAUUGUUCCCCAUGAACGAGGAAUUCCCAGUAAGCGCGAGUCAUAAGCUCGCGUUGAUUACGUCCCUGCCCUUUGUACACACCGCCCGUCGCUACUACCGAUUGAACGGUUUAGUGAGGGCCUCGGAUUGGUCUCGGCCCGCUCUUUACCGGGCGGCGCCGUUGGUCGAGAAGACGCUCGAACUUGAUCGUUUAGAGGAAGUAAAAGUCGUAACA